CGGAAUGCACAUCGACGGCCUUGUAGUUUUGAUUAAGUGCUUUUCACUGCCACCCACUCGACUGUGAUUGACUCUCUCUGUCAAACUGUUUUAAAAUGAACAUCUUAUUCCGAAUCAUACUUUCCCACACUGUCCCAACGAUGCCUUGACUUUCCUGAAGUAUAUGUGUGCAAGGUAGGGCUGAGCAAAAUUAUCCAAAAAAUCGAACCAUAACCGAACCAAAAUAUUAGGUACCCGAACCGUUUAUAGAAAUUGGGUCGGGUAACCGAAUCUAUAAGAAAUUAACGGUUCGGAUAGCUGGUACCCGUUAACGCUGUUUCGGGUACUCGAAUUACCCGAAAAUCUAAAAUGUCAUUUUUUUUUUACAAAAAAAGUUGAAAUUGAAUAUUAUUGAAACCCGUGUUUAUAAAAAAAAAACAAAAAAAAAACAAACCCUAAUCUGUCGUUCUUUUCUCAUUUCUCACCCACUCAACCUCCAUCCCCUCUCUCUCCUCCUUCUCUUCUCUUAUCUUUGGUUCUCUGAUCUCCAUUCUCCAAGUCUGUUCUUUGCCAACGGUUAGCCGUUUACCACAGUCGUGUACAUUUUCAGGACUGUAUGGAAUUUGGAAGUAGUGGGGAGAUGGAAGACUCAUCGGCUACAAGUCAAGCUCCUCUAAGUAUGGUAGAGAAGUUUAGAAGAUGAUAGAGAAGUUAAUCUUGCCGGAAAAAGCUUUGAUUGUUUGGGGUGGUGGAAAAAAUAUGGUGAAAGGUACCCAACAAUAGCUCUUAUGGCUAGAGAUGUACUUGUCAUUCCUGUGUCAACAGUCUCUUUCGAAUCAGCUUUUAGCAUCGGUGGUCAAGUGCUUGAUUCAUUUCGCAGCUCACUUUCAACUAAGAUGGUUGAAGCCUGGAUUUGUGCACAAGAUUGGUUACGUACAUCGCAAGGUCCUCUUAUACUUGAGGAGAGACUUGAAGAUAUGGAAAAAAUUGAAUCUAGUAACAUUUAAUUAUUUUCACUUUUUUUAAAUCUCAUUAUCUUCUUGUUAAUUAUUCCUUAACUUUUUUUUUUUUUUUUCUUUUGAAGAAAUGUUACCUCUUGGUGAGGAACAAUCCCUCUUUGUUGAUGAUGAUUAGAGGCAGCAGCUGUUAUAAGCAUGAAGGUUGGUGGUGAUUGAACUAUUGAAGGCUGAAGUCAUUGAAGACUUGGAAGUAUUUUCUGAAUUAUGAUUAUUAAAGGCAGCAACUGUUAUAAGAAUUAAGGCUAGUAUUUUUUGUAAUCAUAGACUUUUUUUAAAGGUUAUGCAUUAGUUUGUUAUUUUUAAAACUAUGGACUUUUUUUUUUAAGAAACUGUAUGUUUGUAUCAGGUAUUCAGUUUCAAUAUCAGCCUAUCAGGUUGUUAUUUUUUAAAUUCGUGGACUUUAUUUUUUAGGUCCUGUAUUAGGUGGUUAUAUUUAUUAUUAUGGAUUUUUUUUAGGUACUGUUCAGGUAUUCAGGUUGAAUUUUUAUAAUUCAAAAAAAGGAAGUAAAAAAAA